GGCGAGUGAAGCGGCAACAGCUCAGAUUUGAAAUCUGGCCCUACGGGUCCGAGUUGUAAUCUGUAGAGGAUGCUUUUGGCAAGACGCCUUCUGAGUCCCCUGGAACGGGGCGCCAUAGAGGGUGAGAGCCCCGUACGGUUGGACGUCGCGCCUCUGUAAAGCACCUUCGACGAGUCGAGUAGUUUGGGAAUGCUGCUCAAAGCGGGAGGUAAAUUUCUUCUAAAGCUAAAUACCGGCCAGAGACCGAUAGCGCACAAGUAGAGUGAUCGAAAGAUGAAAAGCACUUUGAAAAGAGGGUUAAAAAGCACGUGAAAUUGUUGAAAGGGAAGCGUUUGUGACCAGACUUGUUCCCGGCGGAUCAUCCGGCGUUCUCGCCGGUGUACUCCACCGGGUUUCAGGCCAGCAUCGGUUUCUUCGGAGGCAUAAAGGCCUUGGGAACGUAGCUCUUCGGAGUGUUAUAGCCCAUUGCAAAAUACCUUCAGGGGGACCGAGGCCCGCGCAUUGCAAGGAUGCUGGCGUAAUGGUCACCAGCGACCCGUCUUGAAACACGGACCAAGGAGUCAAGCAUUAGGGCGAGUGUUUGGGUGUAAAACCCGCACGCGAAAUGAAAGUGAACGCUGGUGAGAGCUUCGGCGCAUCAUCGACCGAUCCUGAUGUUCUCGGAUGGAUUUGAGUAAGAGCCUUAACGCUUGGACCCGAAAGAUGAUGAUCUAUGCUUGUAUAGGGUGAAGCCAGAGGAAACUCUGGUGGAGGCUCGCAGCGGUUCUGACGUGCAAAUCGAUCGUCAAAUAUGAGCAUGGGGGCGAAAGACUAAUCGAAUCAUCUAGUAGCUGG
rnacentral:rRNA from 1 species